CAUAGUUCGCGCCUGCGAUUUUCAAGUCUGUCGUUGCUGUCUGGUUUAGUUCCUGCUUUCUGCGGUAUUCAUCCCUUCAUCACCCUGCCGUCUUGACCUUCGUCCCAAUCGGGGGCAAGUCCCUUUUUAUUAGUUUUUCAGGAGAUUCAAGAUAUGGCAAACGGUACAGUUAAGUGGUUCAAUGAUUCCAAGGGCUUCGGCUUCAUCACUCCAGAAAAUGGUGGCGAUGACUUGUUCGCGCACUUUUCCGCAAUCCAAAGCUCUGGCUUCAAGACUCUGACCGAAGGUCAGCGCGUGAGCUUUGACAUCACUGCCGGCCCUAAGGGUCAGCAAGCAUCGAACAUCCGCGCAGCGGACUAAACGGACAGGCUAGCAUGGCUAACCAUGCUGCCCUGCCGGAGAGCUCGGCUUGCCGGGCUCUUUCUU
rnacentral:sRNA from 1 species